rnacentral:rRNA from 1 species
GAUGAACGCUGGCGGCGUGCCUAAUACAUGCAAGUCGAGCGAACGGACGAGAAGCUUGCUUCUCUGAUGUUAGCGGCGGACGGGUGAGUAACACGUGGAUAACCUACCUAUAAGACUGGGAUAACUUCGGGAAACCGGAGCUAAUCCCGGAUGAUAUUUUGAACCGCAUGGUUCAAAAGUGAAAGACGGUCUUGCUGUCACUUAUAGAUGGAUCCGCGCUGCAUUAGCUAGUUGGUAAGGUAACGGCUUACCAAGGCAACGAUGCAUAGCCGACCUGAGAGGGGGAUCGGCCACACUGGAACUGAGACACGGUCCAGACUCCUACGGGAGGCAGCAGUAGGGAAUCGUCCGCAAUGGGCGAAAGCCUGACGGAGCAACGCCGCGUGAGUGAUGAAGGUCUUCGGAUCGUAAAACUCUGUUAUUAGGGAAGAACAUAUGUGUAAGUAACUGUGCACAUCUUGACGGUACCUAAUCAGAAAGCCACGGCUAACUACGUG